CUCCCCUUGUUCUAUCUCUCUCAUGUUGUUCCCUCAAUGGACACUCACUCCUCCAAUGCCCUUCUUCCCUACAUCACAUUUCUGCAAUACCUCAGCCGUCUUUGACAUAUUGAUCGCCUUUUUCCCUCCGGCUUUCAUGCCAGUAAUAAUGGCUUCCCUAUAAGCUUUUAGGUGAGCCAUAUCAGCACCAUUAACAUUCCAAUUCGGAUCUACGUUUGGGUAAUGAGCUGCGGCCCAUGCUACCGGGUUGGCCUGAUUCUGUGCACGGGCCACUUCUUCAAGCGCUUUAAUUGCCGCCUGAUUAAUCCGAGUCCUUUCCUCGUUAUUAAACAAUGUCAUAAGCCCAAGUGGGAUUGUGCGUUUGGAUUAUGGAGGUAAUCAAAUCUGUCAUGGCUUGAGGUUUGUCUGUGUAAGAGGAGUUAUGGGUUUUCCAGUUGAACAAAUCCGUAGUGGUAAAGGGAACAUAAACAAAUACGGGGUCGGCAUGUUGUAACUGGCCUUCACCAUUAAUGUGUGUCGGGCCCGGUGUCAAUCGGAGAGGCAUUUGAUAAUGUCGGGGUUGGAGGGUACCGGUCAAUUGUCGGGUUAGUAUGGGGCUUCGUUGAGGAAGGUCAGUUAUGGGUUCCGGUCGUGGGGUAGUAAGACGAGGGGAGGGGGACGCUUUUUCUUUACUGAAGGGGAGCUUGGUAAGCAGACUAUUCAAGGCCGGGCUGGGAGGAGCCUGACCAGGAACCAGAAAUGACGUCAAAUCUGGAUAGGUGGAGUUAGUGGGGGUAGGUACCGGAAGGGGAGGGUUUAGAACAAGUGGGCUAGGCUCUGAGCUAGAGGAUGGGGUAGGAGGAGACAAUGGGGCAAGGGGAGUGGCAUUACUAGCCGCACCUCCUCUUCCUCUUCCUGUAGAGGAGGAGUAAGGGGGCGGUAAAGGAAUCUCUGACUCAGGGGACGUGUCCAGAAUGGGCGUGAUCACGGCCUUGGUGGACAAACGAGUUCUGGCCAACAGGAGGCAGCAUUGCUCCUCUUGGCACACCCUGAUCCAUUUUGGCAAGUCAUCCACGGCCUGUUUCCAACAAUCAAUAUAUGGAAACUGGUCGUAAAGUUCCG